GGUGGGGUCGUUGAACUUGCCCCGCCCACUGAGCCGCAGGAAGCGCGCAAAUCUGUUUACUACCUGCUCAUGCGACCUCAGGAGAGGAGCCUAGAUGGAGUUUAAACCCAAGAUGGAAAGUUGGAAUGUCCCACCCAAGUCCUCUUUCUCGCUCCGGCCUUCCAAGCAGCCUCUGUGCUCUUCACCCCAGCUCACCUCGGUUGUGGCACGGUUUCCUUGUGACAUCUCUGGCUGUGAUUGAGAGCAGGGAGCUUGGACCAUCUGACUCGGGGUCAGAGGCCUGGAUUUCAUUCCUGGGAGCCCAAAUGAAGCUUACUGUGUGGCCUGGGGCAGGCUUGUGUGCUGUGCCGAGUCUGUGGCCUCCUUGGGGGAUUUUUUUUUUUUAAGUGGAAAAGUCCAGCC